GACGAACGCUGGCGGCGUGCUUAACACAUGCAAGUCGAGCGGAGCGGCGAACGGGGGAGUAACGCGUGAGUAAUCGCCCCCCUCUCUGGGAAAACAGUUGGAAACGGCUGCCAAUACCGGAUAGUGGGGGAUGACUCGCGUCCUAUCAGCUUGUUGUUGGGGUAGUGGCCUCCCAAGGCGAGGACGGUAAGCCGGCCUGGGAGGGCGACCCGCCACAUUGUGCUGAGAUACGGCCCAAUGGCCUACGGGGGGCAGCAGUGGGGAGUAUUGCACAAUGGGGGAGACUCUGAGGCAGCAACGCGGGUGCGUAAUGACGGCCUUCGGGUUGUAAACCGCUUUCAGCCAUGACGCGUUAGUGGCAGAAGAAGCACCGGCUAACUACGUGCCAGCAGCCGCGGUAAUUC
rnacentral:rRNA from 1 species